rnacentral:rRNA from 1 species
AUGGCUAUAGAAAUAGAAUCAUCUGAGUUGAGGAGAAUUACUAACGAUUUUUCGGAUGCCCAGAAAGUUGGAAGUGGUGGCUAUGGAGACGUUUACAAGGCAGUCUACAAUGGGGAAGCCAUAGCAGUGAAGUUGCUUCAUGCGACCAAAGGCAUUGACGACAAACAAUUUAUUAAGGAACUCCGUAACCAUAUGAAGGUCCAACAUCCAAACAUUGUACGGCUAGUUGGGUAUUGCAAUGAAGAAACUAAGAAAUAUAUUGAGCUACCUGAUGGCACGUCUGUUUUUGGUAGACACAUAUACAAAGUGCUCUGCUUUGAAUAUAUGGUCGGUAGAAGCUUAGACAAGCGUCUGUCUGGAAUUUCUCUGGGAGAUGAAUGGUGCACACAUUACCAAAUAAUAAAGGGGACUUGUGAAGGUUUGUGUUAUCUUCACAAUGGAUGUGAAAGUCGGAUCCUCCACUUGGAUCUAAAGCCUGCCAAUGUGUUACUUGACAAGAGCAUGAAACCGAAAAUUGCGGAUUUUGGAUUGUCAAGGAUCUACACUGCAAGCCGUAGCCAUACCAAAGUUGAUUCAGUUUCAGGGACAACGAAAUACAUGGCGCCUGAAUUAAUACGUGGGAGCAUGAUGUCAGACAAGACUGAUGUCUACGGUUUAGGUGUUACAAUCAUAGAAGUAAUUAGGGGACCUGGUGGUUUUGAAAUUUAUCACGACUCAGGGGACACAAAUUUUGUUGAAGAUGUGUGUGCAUAUUGGAGGAAGAGGGAUAGCAGAACAAAUUUAUAUCAAGUGGAGACAUGCACCAAAAUUGCAGUACGUUGUCUCAAUCAUGAUAGAAGGAAGAGACCCACAAUAAAGGAGAUUGUAGAAAACUUGAAUGGUAUAGAAACUCAGGGUUUGAGCAAGGAUCUCCAUGCCCUCACGGUGAAUUCUUGCCUCCCUAUUCCAGACAAGAUUUCCACUGCCAUUUCAGGAAGGGGGGCACUGGAUGUGGUGAUUGUGUAUGCCUUUGAUUGUACUGACUCAACCCCAGCCUGGUACACAGUGGAUAAUGGGAUCUUUUGGUUGGUGCAAGAGAAGCUAACCAACUUGCAUGAUAGUUGCAUGGGCUAUAUUUACGUCAUGUCAACGCCUAACACAUACACAUCGGAUAUGAAAGUAGUUGACUCAGCUGAGACAAAGCAAACUGGCUACACGGGAUUCGCUUGGCGCAGGAUGACCUGCAGUAAAAAUAUGGCAUCAGGCCUUGCUGAGGCGCAUAAAAUGAUCAGCAAUCGUGGCCACCACAACGGCAUCAUCUUGUUCUUCUCUGAUGGGUUAAUAAACAAUGGGGACUUUUUUGAUGGAACAUAG